UUGUUCUUGUUCCGGGACUCAACAUUUCAUAUAAAAAUAUUCCUCUUUAUGGGAAGUAAAUAGUUUGUUUAUUCAUAGGACAGUAAAGUGCUGACAUGCAGUAGGUGCUCGGAUAUUUAUGGGAUGCUUCAGAGGAACAAUUAUCUGAAUAUCAAAUAUUUUUUGUGCCUAUCACUGAGUUUAUAAUAUAAAUGCAAUGAAAAGUAUCUGAAAGCUUACUCUUCACUCUGAAUUGAGUCUGUCAGAGCCUGUAUAUGAAAUAUAUAUAAUAUCUGUAUAGAACCCAGUGUAAAUAUAUUCUUCUUGCAUGCAUCCAUGGAGGAAAACUGAGAUGGUUAGGACAGUACUAAAUUCAUACUUCCUUCCCAAAUAAUGCAUGAAAUAAAUGGCUCCAAUUUCCUGGCUU
rnacentral:lncRNA from 1 species